rnacentral:rRNA from 1 species
CUUGCUUUUCUGAAUCUAGUGGCGAACGGGUGAGUAACACGUAGGUAACCUGCCCAUGUGCCCGGGAUAACUUCUGGAAACGGAUGCUAAAACCGGAUAGGUAGCAGACAAGCAUUUGACUGCUAUUAAAGUGGCCUUGGCCAUGAACAUGGAUGGACCUGCGGUGCAUUAGCUGGUUGGUGAGGUAACGGCUCACCAAGUCGACGAUCGGUAGCCGGACUGAGAGGUUGAACGGCCACAUUGGGACUGAGAUACGGCCCAGACUCC